UGCAUGCAGGGAAGCCAGUUCUGCUGAGGCGCCCUGCCAACACAGAGAAGCCAAGCCUGUUAAAAGACAUGCUCUUCGGUCUUCUACUUUCCUGUCCAUGACAAGUGAGAGGUCAGAGCUAGAAGAACAUGGGGUGGCUAUAUACACUUACAGAAAUUUCCUAAAAUCCUUCCUGGGAGAAGAUAAAGAGAAGUGAAGUCGCUCAGUCAUGUCCAAUUGUUUGCGACCCCAUGGACUGCAGCCUACAACGCUCCUCCGUCCAUGAGAUUUUCCAGGCUAUCAUAGCUCCAAGAUCCAGCAUUGACCAGAGUGGGCAUCUCUGGGAAGGUGCUUCCUUGCUGCAGCUGCUGGAGACCAGAAUCGCCACGUUCUACGGCUACCAUGGCAACCACCAGCAACUGUGAGUAAGCACUGCCCUGUGGGGUGGGGCAGGAAAAGGCCCUACCUCUCUCCUGCUUUCUGACCACUCCCUGGUGCCUCUACGGCCCAAGUUAACAGAAAACCAGCUAUUGAGAACACCGAGGGAAGUGAGAGUUUGCUGAUCCUCAGCCCUGGCAGCAGAGAGCAGAAUCUUAGAGGGGACAGAAUUGUACCGAAGAACUAUAUCAACAAUAGCCCAAGAAACAAAAUUCUAAUUUAAAAAAAUACUCACACCCCUGUGUUUAUAGGAGCACAAAUUACAAUGGUCAAGACAUGGAAACAAUCUAACUGCUCAUCAGUAGAUGAAUGGAUAAAGAUUGGUGUACACACACACACACACACACACACACACACACAUACACACACACACUGGAAUACUACUCAGUCAUAGGAAAGAAUGAAAUAAUGCCAUUUGCAGCAACAUGGAUGAACCCAGAGAUUACAUCUCAUACUAAAUGAAGUCAAAGACAAAUAUCAUAUAUCACUUAUAUGUAGAAUCUAAAACAUGACAUAGAUUAUCUUAUGCAUGAAACAGAAGUAGACUCACAGACACAGAGAACAGACUUGUGGUUGCAAGCGAGUAAGGGAAUGUGAAGGGGUGGAUUGGGAGUUUGAGAUUACUGCUAAAUCACUUCAGUUGCGUCCGGCUCUGUGCGACCCCAUAGAUGGCAGCCCACCAGGCUCCCCCGUCCCUGGGAUUCUCCAGGCAAGAACACCGGAGUGGGUUGCCAUUUCCUCCUCCAAUGCAGGAAAGUGAAAAG
ensembl:lncRNA